UUGACCUCGGAUCAGGUAGGGAUACCCGCUGAACUUAAGCAUAUCAAUAAGCGGAGGAAAAGAAACCAACCGGGAUUGCCUCAGUAACGGCGAGUGAAGCGGCAAGAGCUCAAAUUUGAAAGCUGGCUCCUUCGGAGUCCGCAUUGUAAUUUGCAGAGGAUGCUUUGGGUGCGGCCCCCGUCUAAGUGCCCUGGAACGGGCCGUCAGAGAGGGUGAGAAUCCCGUCUUGGGCGGGGUGUCCGUGCCCGUGUAAAGCUCCUUCGACGAGUCGAGUUGUUUGGGAAUGCAGCUCUAAAUGGGUGGUAAAUUUCAUCUAAAGCUAAAUACUGGCCGGAGACCGAUAGCGCACAAGUAGAGUGAUCGAAAGAUGAAAAGCACUUUGAAAAGAGAGUUAAACAGCACGUGAAAUUGUUGAAAGGGAAGCGCUUGCGACCAGACUCGCCCGCGGGGUUCAGCCGGCAUUCGUGCCGGUGUACUUCCCCGUGGGCGGGCCAGCGUCGGUUUGGGCGGCCGGUCAAAGGCCCCUGGAAUGUAGUGCCCUCCGGGGCACCUUAUAGCCAGGGGUGCAAUGCGGCCAGCCUGGACCGAGGAACGCGCUUCGGCACGGACGCUGGCAUAAUGGUCGUAAACGACCCGUC
rnacentral:rRNA from 1 species